rnacentral:rRNA from 1 species
UACAGAGGCCUCGAGCGUUAGGCGGAAUCACUGGGCUUAAAGCGUGUGUAGGCGGACUUCUAAGUACCUUGUGAAAUCCCACGGCUUACCCGUGGAACUGUUGGGUAUACUGGUUGUCUUGAGCUUUCUAGGGGCGAGUGGAACAAAUGGUGGAGCGGUGAAAUGCGUAGAUAUCAUUUGGAACGCCAAUGGUGAAAACAACUCGCUGGGGAAAUGCUGACGCUGAGACACGAAAGCCAGGGGAGCGAACGGG